GUGUCUCUAAUCCCAUGAACUAUCGACCAACCACUCUUUGAGACAAAGCACUCUGAGGCUAGGGUGAAGGAUCUUCCUGCGUUCCUGGAAGAGGAGAUGAGGAGUGGCCUGGAGAGUAAUCAGAGAGCAAAUGACAAGCUGUACUAGUUGUAGGCCCAAUUUGAGGAAGAUAUUGAUAGCUUCGGAAAUUGCCCAGGAAGUUAGCUCCAGGGAGCGAUUCUUCGGCAGCCAACCAUUAAACUGGAGAUUCAAUUUCUGGAAGAAAGGGCCAUCUGGGUGGAAUUCAGUGCUGUUUUGUAAGAUCGGCUAUUGAAUAAUCCAUUGUCAAGAUAUGGGAAGACUAAAA